CUCCGGCGAGGCGGGCGCCGCCGCCGCCCGUUACCGUAUAAAGGAGCGGCGCAGGAGGCGAGGGAAGUCGCGGAAGAUCUGUGUGUCCGUUCGUUGCUGCCGUACCUUCCCGCACGGUCCGGAUACAGCUCGGUUUGGGUUGACAGCGUGUCUGUCGAGAGCGGAGGAAAUGAGAAGUGAGGUACUGCUGGGUUUGCUCACACCUGCACAGCGAGGCCGAGGCGGAGGGCAUGUAUAUUUCUUCCACUAGCUCUGUGGAAGAAGCACAGUGCUAUCCACGGUAUUUGCACAGCCAUGGCACCGCAAUUAUUGCACUCUUCCAGCUCAGCUUGAUUCACCCUCGUACAAGGGACAGGGAUGGGCUAAAGAGGAUGAUGAGGAGAGAGUCACUCCCAGUACAAAACCCAGCCAGUCACUCCACUUGCCUUACACUGUGCUACUGCCACUGGAUCUUCACCUGGCUGUCAAGGACAAACACUUGCCAAAUUUAUGAUGCUCAGACUAGCAUUUUUGAGCCAUUCAUAUGAAUAUAUCCAGGAGAAAUCCCAAGCGCUGACUGAUGAAAGAUAUAAUAUUUGGUAUGGAAUUCACAAAGCGACUAUUCUAUUACGGUCAAAGGAAAACCCUGCAUUCACCAAAAAAGAAAAUUCCAGAAAUCAUCCAGUUCCCAAGAACAACACAAUACAGUGCUGCAACAUUAAGCCAUACUUUGGGACACUUCUGGGAAAUCCAAAAUCUGUGACUAUGUGACGUUUGGCAUUCCCCACUACUACAGAUUUUUCCUGAUUAUAUAACGCAAGUAUAUCAUCAAAUAUGAAGUAUAUUACUACACCAGUCAAUGAUUAUCCUGAGUAUCUGCAAAACUUCUUCACUGAUGAAAAUCAACAUGAAAGUGUAAAGAAUUAUGAAUGUUUUAAUAAAUAAACAGUUCACUUGUAACUUUAUGAUAAUAAAAUUAAAACACAACAA